rnacentral:tRNA from 1 species
UGGGGGAUCGUCUAGUGGUAGGACACAAGACUUUGGAUCUUGGCGCGGAGGUUCGAAUCCUCCUCCCCCAGCCA